AUCUAUGGCCAUGCUACCCUGAACACGCCCGAUCCCGUCUGAUCUCGGAAGCUAAGCAGGGUCGGGCCUGGUUAGUACUUGGAUGGGAGACCACAUAGGAAGACCAGGUGCUAUAGGCG
rnacentral:rRNA from 1 species